CCCUACGGGGCGCAGCAGUGAGGAAUAUUGGUCAAUGGGCGGGAGCCUGAACCAGCCAAGUCGCGUGAGGGAAGACGGUCCUAUGGAUUGUAAGCCUCUUUUGUCGGGGAGCAAAGGGAUCACGUGUGGUCAAAAGCGAGAGUACCCGAAGAAAAAGCAUCGGCUAACUCCGUGCCAGCAGCCGCGGUAAUACGGAGGAUGCGAGCGUUAUCCGGAUUUAUUGGGUUUAAAGGGUGCGUAGGCGGGACGGU
rnacentral:rRNA from 1 species